rnacentral:rRNA from 1 species
UACGAAGGGGGCUAGCGUUGUUCGGAUUUACUGGGCGUAAAGCGCACGUAGGCGGAUCGUUAAGUCGGGGGUGAAAUCCUGGAGCUCAACUCCAGAACUGCCCUCGAUACUGGCGAUCUCGAGUCCGGAAGAGGUGAGUGGAACUCCUAGUGUAGAGGUGGAAUGCGUAGAGAUCGGGAGGAACACCAGUGGCGAAGGCGGUGGCCUGGACCGAUGCUGACGCUGAGGCGCGAAAGCGUGGGGAGCGAUCCGG